UAGAUAGAAGUCCGCUGGUUAGGGCGGUUAGCUGUUAAUUAAUUGUUUAUGGGAUCAAGGCCCAUCUAUCUAG
rnacentral:tRNA from 1 species